ACGGACGAGAAGCUUGCUUCUCUGAUGUUAGCGGCGGACGGGUGAGUAACACGUGGAUAACCUACCUAUAAGACUGGGAUAACUUCGGGAAACCGGAGCUAAUACCGGAUAAUAUUUUGAACCGCAUGGUUCAAAAGUGAAAGACGGUCUUGCUGUCACUUAUAGAUGGAUCCGCGCUGCAUUAGCUGGUUGGUAAGGUAACGGCUUACCAAGGCAACGAUGCAUAGCCGACCUGAGAGGGUGAUCGGCCACACUGGAACUGAGACACGGUCCAGACUCCUACGGGAGGCAGCAGUAGGGAAUCUUCCGCAAUGGGCGAAAGCCUGACGGAGCAACGCCGCGUGAGUGAUGAAGGUCUUCGGAUCGUAAAACUCUGUUAUUAGGGAAGAACAUAUGUGUAAGUAACUGUGCACAUCUUGACGGUACCUAAUCAGAAAGCCACGGCUAACUACGUGCCAGCAGCCGCGGUAAUACGUAGGUGGCAAGCGUUAUCCGGAAUUAUUGGGCGUAAAGCGCGCGUAGGCGGUUUUUUAAGUCUGAUGUGAAAGCCCACGGCUCAACCGUGGAGGGUCAUUGGAAACUGGAAAACUUGAGUGCAGAAGAGGAAAGUGGAAUUCCAUGUGUAGCGGUGAAAUGCGCAGAGAUAUGGAGGAACACCAGUGGCGAAGGCGA
rnacentral:rRNA from 1 species